CAGCUCUAUUAUUUAUUGUCUAUCUCCUCCUCCCUGCCACUAGGAUGUGAGCUCCCACUCAGGCCACGAUCUUGGUCUGUUUUGCUCACCGAUGUACCCUGAGUGCCGAGAACAGAGCCUGCCACGUGGUGGGCACUCACUAAGGAUUUAUGAGAAGUCUGAGGCACAGAAAAUUUCUAUCAUUUGUCCAAGAUCGCAUGAUGGGAGGGAGGCAGAGCCCAAGUUCGAGCCCAGUCUGCACGUUUGACUUCCCCACUAUCCUCAUCCAUUCCUGGAAGAACUGAUCUCGGAGAUGCACAAAGACGUAUCAAAACCAUUGUUUGUAAUGGCAAAGAAGCAAACAAAAAACCAGGAAAGAAGCCAAGCGAUGCAUAGCAGGGAACUGAUUUUUUUUAAAAAUCAUGGUACAUUCACACAACGGAAAACUACGUAGUCAGCACUAAUGAUGGGAUAGAAGAACGAAUAAUGAAACGGAAAA